UCAUCCUACGGGAGGCAGCAGUGAGGAAUAUUGGUCAAUGGACGGAAGUCUGAACCAGCCAAGUCGCGUGAAGGAUGACGGCCCUACGGGUUGUAAACUUCUUUUGUCAGGGAGCAAUUGGGUCCACGUGUGGGCUUAGCGAGAGUACCUGAAGAAAAAGCAUCGGCCAACUCCGUGCCAGCAGCCGCGGUAAUACGGAGGAUGCGAGCGUUAUCCGGAUUUAUUGGGUUUAAAGGGUGCGUAGGCGGAAUAUCAAGUCAGCGGUAAAAAUUCGGGGCUCAACCCCGUCGUGCCGUUGAAACUGA
rnacentral:rRNA from 1 species